UACGAAUUUUGUUGUUUAUUUUCUUGACUUGGCUUGAGUUAUAUGAUGAUGGAUAUGAGUUUUUGAGAUGAUCUAGAUGAUUAAUGAUGGAUGAGAUUGAAGCUUGAGGUUGAGAAGUGAAAAAUGAAAAAUGUUAGUUUGAGGAAGAAGAUGAUAUAUAUGUGUUUCUAUAUGUGAUUUUGUUAUAUGAUGUUGAUUUGAAGAUUUGAGUAGGUAUAUGAGUUCUUGAGCAUGCUAUGAUGUUAAGUGAUGGUUUAGAUUGAUGAUUAGAAGUGAUGAAAUGAGUUUUGGGAUGAGUUGUUGUUGAGAAUUAUGAUGUUAUAUUCAAGUUAGAGAUAUUAUUAAGAUAUAUAAGUUUUAAAUACAAAUUGGAGAAUUUCGUAGGCCUACUGACCUACUGUGAUCGAUGGUUUUUCGAUGUCUAAUAACUUUGAAAAUUUUAUAGCAAGUUUCUACAUGAGUCUUGAGUACCCUGGUAAAAUUUCAAGAUAUUUCAACUUCGUUUGAUAGUUCUUUAAAAUGCAAACCCUAAACUGCACAUUAUUACCGAGAAUUUCAGAGAACAGGGGAACGAUUCAUUCAUUUCAGUAGCUUCCUAUGUGAUCUAGCUUUUCAACUUUUUAUGGUAUUAACCUUAUUGUGUUAGCUAGAUAUCCACCAAAGUUGAGCCCAGUUUGACAACGUUUACUAUUUAUCAAAAAUUGUAACCUUCGGUUGCACAAAACUGCCAGAAAUGGUAGAUCGUGGUAAAAACGUCAUAUCUCUCAAACCACUUGGAGCUUUCGACUCUAUUUUUUUUUAAAUGAAACUAGACUCGAAGAUAUUUCUUUCAGUAUGAGUCUCGAGUCCAGGAGAUGUCGGAGUCAGAACAGUUUAAAUUUUGAAGUUGAACCAGUGUAAAAACAGAGCAUGUUUUAAUGAUGUUUGAUUGUGAUUCUUAUGUGCCUUAUGUGAUUGUGUUGCCUAUGUGUUUGAAUUUUCACUAAAUUAUUUUAGUGAAUUUAAAUCUCUUGAUUUAAAUUUUAAUAUUUAAGGUUGGGACUAUUUAUUUUAAAUGAGGUCCGUUAUUUUAUUUAAUUUAUUGAUGGACUUUAAAAAUGAAAACAAAUUUUGGGAUUAAACCCUCAUUUUUAUAAUAUUUCAAGGCUUUUUGAGUAUGGAUUUUAAAUGGUUAAAAUGUUUUAUUUCAUCUCAAUGGAUUUUAAAAUGUUUUAUUAUUUAUAAAUGAAUAAUGGAAUUUCUUAUUUAUUUACAUGAAAAAAAAAAUGAAAUGUAUAGAAUGUUAUAAAAAUGGUGCAUGAUUUCUUUUAUGUUCAUAUGAACUUGUGAUUUUAAUGAUACUAAACUUGAGGAUUUUAUUUCUUUCUGUUUAUUGUUUACGUGAUUACGUGAUAUUAUGUGGUUAGUCACGAGGUUAUGUUGGUUUUCGAUUGUCUUUAAUGGAACGAAUUAUGGAUGCUAGAACCCUAAAACACUAAAAGAAAAUCGAGUAAGGAUAUUGUUGGUGUCCUUAACUCAAGAAAUUUAGUUUUCAAGUAUUUAUUCAUUAAAUUUGAAAACCCGGCGUGAUGAAUCAAGUAUGUUUAGUACAUCCAUAAAUACAUUAAGAUUAGUUUCAUGAGACCUAUUAAGAAUAGAAUUUCUUGUAGGCUUUGUGACCAGGGGAAUUAGCGCUGCUUUCCCAAGACAGGUUUAUAUGUGAUUAUGAUCUUCAGGCUUUGCCUAACCAGGUUGGCUGGCUGGUGCUGACGGGACGGAGCUGAGGCUAGCGAUAAAUUCCUAUGUUAGACUUCCGCUGUAGCAAUUACUCAUAUCAGUCUUUUGUUUUCUCAACUUAAGAUCUUCAUGUUAAAUUUCAAAUGAUAUAUUUGACCGAGCUUAGACUCUUCACUACUAAAUUUAUGCUAAUGAAUGUCGGUUGUCAGAAGCAUGAAACAAAACUUGUGAUCCAAAGGGGCAUAGCCCGACUUUCUAUCCUAUUUCGGGUUUUUACAAGGUUGUUCCUUGUUUAUUUCUA